rnacentral:rRNA from 1 species
GUGAGGAAUUUUCCGCAAUGGGCGAAAGCCUGACGGAGCAAUGCCGCGUGAAGGAUGAAGGCCUAUGGGUUGUAAACUUCUUUUCUCAGAAAAGAAUUAUGACGGUAUCUGAGGAAUAAGCAUCGGCUAACUCUGUGCCAGCAGCCGCGGUAAGACAGAGGAUGCAAGCGUUAUCCGGAAUGAUUGGGCGUAAAGCGUCUGUAGGUUGUUUAAAAAGUAUUCUGUCAAAGAUUAGGGCUUAACACUAGAUAGGCAGAAUAAACUUUUAAGCUAGAGUUUGGUAGAGACAGAGGAAAUUCCCGGUGGAACGGUGAAAUGCGUAGAUAUCUGGAGGAACACCAAAGGCGAUGGCACUCUGCUGGGCCAAUACUAACACUGAGAGACGAAAACGAGGGGAGCAAAUGGGAUUAGAAACCCGGGUAGUCC